UACUUGGGCUCUUUAUUUGUUCACUGGACAGCUGCUUCUGUCAGAGGAGACUAAGAGUCUUAUUUGUCUUCGUGUCUCUAUUUCCUAGUGCAGUUCUAGUACAAAGCUGGCAUUUCAGAAAUGUUUAGUGCAUGAUGAAAUCUGUGUAUGUCCUGCUGUAUAGCACCGGGAACUGUAUCUAGUCACUUAACGAUGGAGCAUGAUGGAGGAUAAUGCGAGAAAAAGAAAUUGUAUAUAUGUGUCUGUGACUGGUCACCUUGCUAUACAGUAGAAAAUUAACAGAACACUGUAAACCAGCUGUAAUGGGGAAAAAAAAUCAUUUAAAAUUUUUAAAAAAUUGAAAAAAAAAAGAAAUCUGUAUAUCUGCUUUCCUUUCUCUGUUGUGAGAUCCCCAGAUGGGUAUCUUGAUCAUUUUUGCUUUUUUAGAAAAUUCAUGUCUUUACAUUUUAUAAUUCAGUUUUAAUGAAGGUUAAAUUGCAUAGAAAAAUGAAAAGGUUAGAAUGAGAGACCUUAUAUAUCUUUUAGUUAAAGUGUCUUCAGAUUCUAAGUGCGAAACUGACUUGGUAUUUUUUCAUCGUGCAGUUAUUAUUAUAAUUGGAUCUGAUUUUAAUAAUAGUAUUUAACAUUUAGAUGUGUUUUUGUGCUAGAGACUUCACAAAACACAUUUCAGGGGUUUUUGUAACAUUCACAACAAGGUACAGUGUUUUAUUGCUGCUUAUAUUUUAUAGAACAAAAUACUGAAGUUUGACUAAGCGAGGUCAUAUAUUUAGUGAGGAAUCUGGGAUUCAUAGUUAUUAAAUUAUUAGAUUAUAAAUAAUGUUGAGGGAGAAAAGGGAUUUAAUUAGUGAAUUUGUUUUGUCAAAUGUGUGUCAACAUUUAAUAUAAUGUUUAGAAAAGUCAAUGAAAAUAGGAUACAGUGAAUGUCCUUGUCCCCGAGCGAAGAUGGACACAAGUUGUCCAGAGUUAUACUAAGAGGGAAUGACUUUGUGAAGCUUUGAUAAAGUGUCACAGCUUUGUGGCAGGAAAGCAAGUAUACAUAUUAUAUGUCUUGGUCCUGUGGCAGAGCUCAUGCUAAGCAGGAAACUUGACAUAAUUCCUCUUCUACUAUUAGGCUGUCAGAAAUCAAAAAUCAAGAAUAAGAAGGCAGUUACUGUUGAAUGAGGCAAGUCUUCCAUGCCUGUCGCUCCCCACCAGGGAACUCCGCUAUCAUGUGCCUUGGACUUGGUUCUUUAAGGUCAGCAGUUAGAAAAAUAUAGGUUUUACUCAUGGACUGUUGAGAGCACUUGCAUUUUUUUUUUUUUUUUUGUCUUUUUAGGGCUGCACCCAUGGUGUAUGUAAGUUCCCAGGCUAGGGAUCAAAUUGAAGCUGUAGCUGCUGGCCUACACCACAGCCACAGCAACACCAGAUCCGAGCCGAAUCUGUGGCCUAUGCUCAAGGCAGUCCGGAUCCUUGACUCACUGAAUGAGGCCAGGGAUUGAAUCCACAUCCUCAUGGAUACUAGUCGGGUUCGUUAGCUGAGCCAUGAUGCAAACUCUUUUUUUUUUUUUUUUUCUAUGUAGCUUGAUGUGGGAUCUCAGUUCCCAGACCAGGAAUUAUACCUGAGUUGUGGUGGUGAAGUGCCAAAGUCUAACCACUAGACCGCCAGGGAACUCCCCAGCACUUAUUUACUUGUUCAUUUUGUCUCAGUGUCUGGCACAGUUCUGUAUAACUAAUAGCAUGUCUAGACAGAAAGGUAUUUUGUUUCAUCCCAUUCUAUGUGAGUGUUGUUUAUACGGUCAGUUUGCCUUUGGCACCACAUUCUAACGAAUAAAAUGUCAACUGCAGUUGUUAUUAGGGACAUUAUUGUCAUUAGUGACUUGAAGACUCCUUUUAACCUGUGAAUUAUAAUUAUGAUGUCUUACUCUGGGUCCAGCCGCACCUCCUCCUGCCCCUUAAAGCUGACCCUAAGACAAGGAGUUGAUAUGAAGAUUUUAUUUUGGUUGUGAUCACAGAAAACAGAAAUGUGGGAAAAUGGAGAGAGGGACAAGAAAGGCAGAAAAACAAAAGAGUAUGUGUUAAUGGGCUGAUUUCUGCUUAGAAUUAUCCUGCUGGAGAACAAAACAUUGGGAUGUUUAUCCAUAGACUUUUGUCUCUCGUUGCAUGAGCAUUGCAUUGGGGUUGCACAUCUCACAUCUCCGGGUUGCACCUUCAUCUGGCUAAGCUAUUUUCCCCAACUUAUAGAAAGCAGUACAGAGAGGCACCAUGGGAUGCUGGUGAAGAUGCACGGAACUGUCCACCAUACAAGUUCUGAAACUAGGUGCACUGAGGGGGAAACGGUACAGUUCAUUCUAAAUAUCUGCCACAGAUAACAGAGUCUUACCUAAGAAUAAUGGCCAAAAGAUGAAACAAAUUGUGUAUGUUCUACUAAUUACUUUUAUGUUUAUAUGUGCUUUUUUUGGUAUGUUUUGGGAGAUUACAGUCAUGACAAAUGGCAUCACAAUCAAUUCAGAGUUGGUGUUAGGACCAAUCGCUCUUCAGUAAAAAUUGGCAAAAUGCCAAAUUUUGGCACUGUUUGAAAGAGCCAAAAAAGAGAACGAAAACCUGAGUUUUAAAACUUACUAGUGAAUCGAUUUUACUAGAAGGUCUGAUCAAGGGACACACACUUAAUAUAAUAGCAUUCAGAAUUUUGGAUUUAAAAAUCAUCUUAUUUUUCUUUGAUAUUGCAGAAAAUUAAAAAACUUGAAUAAAAAUAUAAAGAAGGAAACUGCAUCAACCAUAACCUUCCAUCUAAAAAUAAUCAUUAUUACUAUAUUGAUACAAUUCUUCCCAGAAAAAAUUCUUAUUGUAGAUGUGAGUAGGUGAGAGAUACAUAUAUUUGGUAAUAAAUGCCAAUUCUGCAGUGAGUGGCAGGUAAAGAAACUAAUGUUUAUUGAAUACUUUUUGUUUGCUGCACAUCAGGUUGAGCAGUCUACACACCUUCCCUAAUCCAUUAGCCUUUGCGCUGUUUGCUUUUAGGAAGCCACCCUCCCAGCCCUGGAGGUCAGCCUGUGUGCGUUGGGUACUGCCCAGAGCCUGUCUCCAGUCAUUGAAAGAAUGCUUUGUCUUCCACAGGCCCCAAGUGAGCAAGUCAGAAAGGUUAAGGGCAGCCUGGGAAAUGCUGAGAAGUGUUUUUUCUAAUAGAAAUGAAAAUGGAAUAGAGGCAGAGGAAUGGGGGAAAUGUGUUAGAGUAAAGCAAUGGAAAAGAAACUUCCUUAAAUUCAUUUUCCUCUCAACACUGUGUUAUGUCUGUUUUUAGGUCUGCUUGUUCAAAUGACUAGGCAGAUUUUCCCAAUUAAACCUUCAUUUACAACCCCGCUCAUCCCAAAUGUGUAAAUAAGCUUCUUUUGGGUUUGUCUGACAGGCAUUUGCUUUGCAUCAUCAUUUGUGUUUUGACAUUCCUGGAGAUGAAAACAAUUCUGCCAUAGUCCCAACUCCUUCGAAAUGUCUUUUUCCUCCUUUUAUCUUUGAUUCAUGAGUGUAAGUAAAUAAAACCUGCCCUACCGUGUCUUGCUUCUCCUCCCUCCUUUCCUUUCCAAUUCAGGACUUUAAUUUGAAAAUGGUUAUUUUUAGCCUUGUUCUCAACUGUGCCUAUGCUCUGUCCUCACCAUGCUGCUGAUUGCUGAUAACACAGCUGGCUUCGGGGGUGGCCGGCGCAGUCUGCAAACAUUACAGAUAAGAUUGAUUGAAAAGUGGGUUGCAGCUGAUAGAGACCCUCUGAGGCCUAGGAAGCAGGAGCUUCCUAAAGGGUUUGUUUUUUGGGGUGAAGUUUUUCAACCCUACUUCCAUGGGAGCCUGUCGGGAGAAAGUCAGAAGAGAAAGACAGACUGUCUCUUCUUGGGUGGUCUUGGGACUCAGAGGUGCACUGACCAGUCCUGACUUUAGAAAACUAGGGACUGUGUGAGUAGAGAAAGGGCUGUUUGUGAAACUAUAUAGGAUCAAAGAGUCAGAAGGUACGGCCCAUCCAGAGGCAGUCCAGAGGCUUUCAGUCAAAGUAUAAGCCAGGGUCCAGUCUGAUAACCUUUAGGCCACAAGGGCCCUGUAGAUGUGUUUGCUUGGUUUCUAGCGUUUUUCUUUUUCUUUUUCUUUUUUUGGCUGAGCCCAUGUAUAUAGAAGUUCCUAGGCCAGGGUUCCAACCCAUGCCCCAGCAGCGACCCAAGUGACUGUAGUAAUAAUGCCGGGUCCUUAACCCCCUGUGCCGCAAGAGAACUCCUCUAGUAUUCUUCUUUAAAAUUGUGUUAUUAGGAGUUCCCGUUGUGUCUCAGCUGGUAAUGAAACUGACUAGGAUCCCUGAAGAUUCAGGUUCAAUCCCUGGCCUCACUCAGUGGGUUAAGGAUGAGGCAUUUCCAUGAGCUAUGGUGUAGGUCACAGAUGUGGCUUGGGUAUGGCAUUGCUCUGGUUGUGGCUGUGGCCAGCAGCUGCAGCUCCAAUUCAGCCGCCAGCCUGGGAGCUCCCAUAUACCGCAGGUGCAGCCUGAAAAAGAAAAAAANACCUGAAAAAGAAAAAAAAAGUGUUAUUAUUAUUAUUGUUCAAUUACAUAUUCAAUAUUUAGGUAUAUAUUCAAUUAUACAUUCAAAGUGAAAUUGAAUAUUAUAGAUUCAAUCAUAUGUUCAAUAGACAGGUAGAUAGAUAGUCAGAUGUAAACGUUUACUCUGUGCCAAGAACUGCUCUAAGCUGUUCACAGAUACCUUGUAAUUUACUUUUAAUAGCCACCCUAUGAGGUAGAUUCCAGUAUUGUCCUCAUUUCACAGAUGAGGAAACUGAGGCACUGAGACGUUAAAUAACUUGUGCAAAGUCAUAUUCAGUAUAACUCUUUGGAACUUGUGGUGACUCUCGGGCUCUCAGUCCUUAGGGCCACAAGUGUCCCUACUAGUUAGGAUAUGCCUGCUCUAGUUUAUUGGAGUCUUCACAUAUCCCUAGUCUCUGUAAUUAGUCAACUUAAAUAUUUUGUUAUCUUUCUUGCUCUAACUUUAAGCCGUUGAGAAAAUAACUUCUGGGAUAAGUCCAUAGUUUUCAAAUCAGGGAGAUGAGGUUUAGCCAAAGAAGGCAUUGGAAAGUGGCAGUGCGGGAUGGAGGAAUCCUCAGAAAAUGCCAAGGGCCCACUGGUCCUAAACCACCUUCGCCCACCAGGGUAGUGAUUCCAGUCACUCAUCUAGUCAGCCAUACGUAGGAGACGACAAAAACUGAGCCAAAAGCAAAGGUCCCUUAGUCACUUAUGAUGGAGCCUGAUGGAGGAUAAUGUGAGAAAAAGAGUAAAUACACGUACGUGUGACGGGGUCACUUUGCUGUACAGUAGAAAAUUGACAGAAUACUGUGAACCAACUAUAAUGGAAACAAUAAAAAUCAUUUAAGAAAUAAAAAAAAGCAAAGGUCACAACUCUGGGUGAAAACCAAAGAGAACUUUCAGUCUAAAGAAGGGUAAGCCAGGUAGGCAGUGACUGUGCUCUCCUGCAUUAUGAAGAGGAGGGAGCAUUGACAUGGCGAGGUCUGGGAAGUCUCCUCUGAGGAGGUGACUUUAAGAACUUGAGCAGAAGUUACCCAGAAAGGAAUAGGUCAUCACGUAUGGUUGUGAAGAUGGUGCCUUGAAAACAGCUUUCCUGGAGUUCCUGUGGUGGCUCAGUGGUUAAAGAACCUGACUAGUCUCCAUGAGGACUCGGGUUCGAUCCCUGGCCUUGCUAAGUGGGUUAAGAAUCCCACGUUUCUGUGGCUGUGGCGUAGGCUGGCAGCUGCAACUCCGAUUCGACCCUUAGCCUGGGAACCUCCAUAUGCUGUGGGUGUGGCCCUAAAAAGACAAAAAAAAAAAAAAAAAAAAAAAAAAA
rnacentral:lncRNA from 1 species